UCCCUGGUGGUCCAGUGGUUAAGACUUUGCCUUCCAAUGCAGGGAGUGCAGGUUCGAUCCCUGGCCAGGGAG
rnacentral:tRNA from 1 species